GACGAAGGGGGCUAGCGUUGUUCGGAAUUACUGGGCGUAAAGCGCGUGUAGGCGGUUGCCCAAGUCGGGUGUGAAAGCCUUGAGCUCAACUCAAGAAAUGCACUCGGUACUGGGUGACUAGAGGACCGGAGAGGAUAGUGGAAUUCCCAGUGUAGUGGUGAAAUACGUAGAGAUUGGGAAGAACACCAGUGGCGAAGGCGGCUCACUGGACGACUGUUGACGCUGAGGUGCGAAAGCGUGGGGAGCAAACAGG
rnacentral:rRNA from 1 species